rnacentral:rRNA from 1 species
AGGAGGAGCUUGCUUCUCCGGAUGAGUUGCGAACGGGUGAGUAACGCGUAGGUAACCUGCCUGGUAGCGGGGGAUAACUAUUGGAAACGAUAGCUAAUACCGCAUAAGAGUAGAUGUUGCAUGACAUUUGCUUAAAAGGUGCAAUUGCAUCACUACCAGAUGGACCUGCGUUGUAUUAGCUAGUUGGUGGGGUAACGGCUCACCAAGGCGACGAUACAUAGCCGACCUGAGAGGGUGAUCGGCCACACUGGGACUGAGACACGGCCCAGACUCCUACGGGAGGCAGCAGUAGGGAAUCUUCGGCAAUGGACGGAAGUCUGACCGAGCAACGCCGCGUGAGUGAAGAAGGUUUUCGGAUCGUAAAGCUCUGUUGUAAGAGAAGAACGAGUGUGAGAGUGGAAAGUUCACACUGUGACGGUAUCUUACCAGAAAGGGACGGCUAACUACGUGCCAGCAGCCGCAGUAAUACGUAGGUCCCGAGCGUUGUCCGGAUUUAUUGGGCGUAAAGCGAGCGCAGGCGGUUAGAUAAGUCUGAAGUUAAAGGCUGUGGCUUAACCAUAGUACGCUUUGGAAACUGUUUAACUUGAGUGCAAGAGGGGAGAGUGGAAUUCCAUGUGUAGCGGUGAAAUGCGUAGAUAUAUGGAGGAACACCGGUGGCGAAAGCGGCUCUCU